rnacentral:rRNA from 1 species
CAAUAGCGUAUAUUUAAGUUGUUGCAGUUAAAAAGCUCGUAGUCGGAUUUUGGCUGAGAACGAUCGGUCCGCCGUUAGGUGUGCACUGAUUGGUCUCAGCUUCCUGGUGAGGAGGUGUGCUUCACGGCCACUUAGUCACCGUGGUUACUUUGAAAAAAUUAGAGUGUUCAAAGCGGGCUUACGCUUGAAUAUAUUAGCAUGGAAUAACACCAUAGGACUCCUGUCCUAUUUCGUUGGUCUCGGGACGGGAGUAAUGAUUAAGAGGAACAGUUGGGGGCAUUCGUAUUUCAUUGUCAGAGGUGAAAUUCUUGGAUUUAUGAAAGACGGACUUCUGCGAAAGCAUUUGCCAAGGAUGUUUUCAUUGA